AGCAUUCUUUUUCAUCUGCUUAUUUGCCAUCUGUAGAUCUUCUUUGCUGAGGUGGUUAUUGAGAUCUUUGCCCAUUUUUAAAAUUGGACUGUUUGUUUUCUUGUUGAGUUUAACUGUGUAUUUUGGGUAGCAGUUUUUUAAAAAUAAAUAUGUGUUUUGCAAUACAUUCUAAUACAUAUGAAAUAAACACAGGGGUAUUUAAAUAGAACAUACUUGUUGGGGUGUCACCUAAAAUGACUUCCGGUGCCAUCUGUGGCUGCACACAGCAUCUGGGGGUAUGCGACUUACAUGUCCCAGCCAGAGUGCAGCAGCAGUGACACUCACUCACUCCCGGGGACGCGUGUUAAUGCUGAGCUACCAGUGCAGGAAGCUCACUUCUCAGGCUGCAGCCUGGACGAGGCGUCUCUACUUCAGACAGACCAGCCAACACGACCUGCGCUGCAGGAGACUUAGCUCACACAACGCUCCUCCAACACUGCUAGCCUGGAGACUCGCUUCCACAUAGAUUUAAAGGCGUUUACUUCCUAAUGGUUCAUCCCCGUCUCAGUCCACUCAGGCUGCUCCAGUACCAGGACGCCUGUCUGGUCAACAACAGGAAUUCACUUCUCCCAGGUCUGGAGGCCAGAGCCGAGGUCAGGGCUGGGGGGCCAGUUCCGGCCAAGGCCUCUCUGAGCAGCAGACGCUGUCUUCUUGCCGUGGCCUCCAGUGGCUGACAGGGCCGGGGAGCUCCCCGUGGCUUCCUCCACAAGGGCACUAACCCCAUUAUGAGGCCCCUGCCUUUAUGACCUCACAGGCCUCACCUCCUAACACCAGCACACAGGGGGCCAGGUUUCAACACCUGAGUUGUGGGGGUCCCUAACAGCAUCUCAGCACACUCGAUGUCCACAGUGUGAACGAGGAGCGGCAGAGAGCUCUGCUCAGCACCUCGUCCUGCGAGGGGGCACCUGCCGCAGCCGCCGGCCGACAGUGCGCUGGGCCUCAGAUGGAGGAAGUCGGGAUGGUGACAGGGCGCUCUGUGCUGUGCUAGCAGACCCCGUAGACAGCUGGGCGCACGUCUUGGGAAGAACGUUAAUGACCCCAGAUGCCCGCAUCUUCCCAUACGCAGAAAAGCACCAAGAUCGUUCACCUGAGACGUCUGUUCUUUGGGACCAGCAGCAACCUUUUACCAAGCCGCCCAACGAUGGCCAGUGGCGUACCCGUCAGAGGCUGUCUCUGGGCUACGGUUCUCAGGAAGACCCUGAAGAAAACAACUCACAGCUCUCAUGCUCUGUGUUUUUCCCUUUCAGGCAACACCACCGCCUCCUGCUCCCUCCUAGAGCUGGUCUUGUUAACAGAGAGUCUUAGACACGCUGCCUCUACCAAAGAUGAGUUCUGCUUUCCAAUGACAUCAGCAAAGAUGAUGGAACCUUCUAGCAGAUCUUCCCAAGAGAGGCUCUGUCUAGUGACAGCACAGACAGAGAACAGGAUGGGAGACAGGAGGCCUGAGCUCCCACGGUGAUUUAGACUCGUGGUGUGAGUCUCACGGCUUCUCUGAGGCUCAGUUCUGAACAUAAAGCAAGUGACUGGAAUGUUCUCUCUAGUUACAACACUUUUAUGAUUCAAUGAGUUUUGAAGCUUACCUUUAAGACACAGGAAAUUGCUACAUUAAAGCGUCCGCACGAGUCGCAGGACGUGCUCAACACUUCGCCACAAGAGGAAGGAAACAGUAGCUUUCACCUUCUCCCCAGCUGAGACCUGAAACAAACAACAAAGCCAGAGGCAGAAAAUCACUGCCCCUCCAAGGCGACUGUGCCCUCGCAGGGGACACGCUGUGUGCUGGUAUCGGGCUAAACACCUUUAGUGACAGAUACGAAUCCGAAUAAAAUGGGACAGAAGAUCUUCAGUGAAAACAUGUCUGAAGUUUGACAGUCACCGCCACUUCAGACCAGCACCACCAGCAGCCCGCGGCUAAGCCGGGGGCCCAGCUCCACGGCUGGUGCAGAGCGUGGGCUCUUCCACCGUUUUUCUGGAGAAGCGGGCUCACCGCACCGCCUUUUUCUUAUUGAUCUGUAAGAGCGUUUCGUGCAUUAAUCAUGAAAACACUGCUAUAGUGGUUACGCAGUAACUCAUUCAAGGCUCCUUCCCAUCUCUGGCUGUAAACCCGGUAGAAGAUCUCUGGAACCCCUGGAGGAUGCCGGGCCGCUUGCCCGGUCCCCUGCUGCCCUGGAGCCGCGCUGUGCAGGGGUGUUUGUGGCCAGCGGGCUCCGGGGUGCAGGGCAAGCGCGGGGACCGGGGCUGGGGGUGGCCCUGGACAAAUGGCCCUUCUCACUGUCACCCCGCUCCAAUUCCAUCUUCUUCAGCACACAAAGAGCACUAAGGCCUUCGCAGGGAUUAACAAGCCACACAUUAUGCUUCAAGAAUUAUGUGACAUUUCGAUGGCCCUGACAUGUGAAAGGCUUCCAUUGUGUCUAGACUCAAAUGCACCACCAGCUCUCAUGAUGUCCUGGUUAGAAGCCUAUUUUCUGUUUGUAUCCUCAGAUCACAAGCAAUUGCCUCCUGGAGUCUGAAGACGACGUUUCAGUUGCACACCCAGAGAACCACCUGUGCACGGGAACCGGGUCAAUGACUCUGAAGCCUCCAGACUCGCACUUAGUGCCUCCGAGCACGAGGCUUCCACAGAGCUUCUCAGCCCACACGCUGUUUAACCUGAGCCCCCCUCUGUUCAUGACGAAAAGGAGGCCCGAUGUCGAGAGGAGGGUCGGGCAGAGCAGAACAGGAGAGAAAGGACAGGGCGCUGCACCGGGGGACAUCCACCUUCCUCGGAGGUCGACACACCACCCCCCUGAAAACAGCGAGUCAUACACUUUCAUCUCUACCCAGAUCACUUUAUAACAUCCUAUCAAAGAGAUACUUGGUUAAAUCACUUGUUACUUCUCAAGUAAAACCAAGGUAUGUUUAUAGUCAGGGGAGGCACUCCACUCUGUGGCUGCAACAGACGUGAAGGAUGUCUUGACAACGUGCUCCACAUCGACACCUGCGGACUCCACAGGCGACAUGCCUAGUCCACUGCGGGCGCCUCCUCUCCCUGCUGUUCACAAUCGCCUGUCCGUCUGACUCCUCUCGGACUGGCCAAUUCACCAAGCAAAACAGGAAGGGAAACGAUUCUCCCGGGCCCCGGGCCCAGGGGCAGCUAUCCACACGUCUGCACACGACUUUCUGUCUUAGAUGAAUCCUCUCACGCUGAGAUUGCAGAAACAGACACGCUUCAAGGUUCUGUCAACAAUUUAAGCUUCUUUCUGAUCUUUGAGAAGAUUAUACAUUUUCCUUAUUACAAAUUAACACAUUUCACUGAAGAAAAUUCACAUGAGCAGAAAGAAGAAAUAAUGACCAGCCAUAAACAGCGCCCGGGCCAUGCAUGCAAGGCUGCACGGGGGCAGCCUUACACGGCACACCGCUGUGUGUGCCCCUCCAUCAACUGCGUGACUGUGAACAUUGUGGUAGGUUUUCCCGGCCUUUCCAAAACUAUCCAGAAUUUUAAGAAAAUAAAUGAAUGAAUCAUCAUUACCCUUAGCUACCUGAAAGAUGCUCCGAAUGAAGGUGCCAAGAGCUCUGAUCUUUCCCUGGACCAGUGAAGCUGGCGCAGGUACUCGAGACCCUAGGCAGAGAGGAAGCAGCCUGCUUGGGCCUUCCCUGGGCCUGCGAUGCUCUGUGCCGAGGACAAGCAGGUUUCAAGGCCGCGGAGGUGGCACGCGGUUCCUUCUCACCCUCAGGGCCCUCCGACGGCCAUGCCCACAUCCAGCAGGAUUCUCACUGCGCUGGGCGCACACUGCGUUGUGGCUCGCAUGUCUCCCCAGGCAGGCCCCACUGCACCUCACUGCACCUAACCAUACCCUCUUUCCAGCUGAUACACCUGCCACUCCUCUUCAUUUUGAGGCCUUUUUCUUGGAAAUGCUCAAUGACCGACGUGCUGCUUUCUGGCCCGCCUCUUCUCGUGACAGUCACAGCCCAAAGACGACAGGGACACAGACACUGCACCAGCCCCGCCCCUGGUGGGCAGAGCAGGCGACAUGAGCCCUUCAUCCUGUUUUCAGCUCGAGGAUCCGUCAGCAGCUCGACCCCCCACCCGGGUCCCAGGCAUCAGCCAUGGGAGUGGCUCCGAGCUGCAGGAAGGAAAAGACGGGACGAGUGUCACUGGCUGGUGCCAAGAUGUCCUAGCACACAAUACGUAUUUUUAACCCUUUUCUUUUUUAAACAUACUGCUUAACAUCUUUCCUUUCAAUCUAAUCCUUCAAAUUUAUGGCCUCGUUUUGGGUUGAGAAAACAGAACAACAUUUAAGACCAAUCAGGAUGAUGUCGUACUGACCAGGGCAGAGAAACAGAACCAGCAGGACGCGAGCAUAGAGAGAGGCUUGUCUUAGGGAAUGGGCUCCCCCGGCCAUGGAGGCCGGCGAGCCCCAGAUCUGCAGGGGAGCCCAGGAGCCCCAGGACCCGGGGAGAGCUGCCUCUGCGGGCUGCGUCCGAGGGCUGUCUGCCGGCAGGACUUCUUAUCAGAAGCUCAGUCUUGCUAUACUUCUUCACCUGAUGGGUACCAGGCUCUAUCAAUCCCCUUUCCAAACCUCAAAAUUUGCUCCCCCUUCUCCCACAGCUGUUGCCACAUCUGGAUGCUCCGCACUUGGGCUCUACGUUAAACAGCUGCCAUCUCCUCUCCUUGCUCCGGCUCAAUCUGCAGCGCCAGGGCUGUUCCCUAAAACACCGAUGCAACCGUGCCAUCCUUCUGCUUAAAAGCUUUACUUGGUUUCCAGACCUUCGCUACAAACUCUGAACUUCUCAGCACAGAAUAUAAAGCCGUACCUCCAGUCUUUCCUGGGACAUCCCGAACUUUUCUUAUACUCCUGUUAGGGGCUGAGCUGUAUCCCCCCAAAAUGGUGUGUUGGCGCCCUCACUCCCAGUACCUCAGAACGUGACCUCAUUUGGAGACAGGGUCUUCACGCAGCUAACAAAGUUUAAAUGAGGUCAUUAGGGUGGAUCCCAAUCCAACAGGACAGGUGUCCUUACACAAGGGAAAUCUGGACACAGAGACAGGUAAGCACGAAGGGAAGAGGAUGUGAAGGAGGCAGAGAUCGAGGCGAUACACCGAUAAGCGAAGGGUCAUCAGAGAUGUCAGGAAACCACCAGAAGCUAAAAAAAGGUGCAUGGAACAGACGCUCCUUCACGGCCCUUGGAAGGAACCACCCCUGCCGAAACGCUGAUCUUGAACUUCCAGGCUCCAGACUGGGAGUGAAAAGGUUCACUGUUUAAGUCUCCAGUCUGAAAUUCUCGGUAUGGCAGCCCCAGCGAACUGAAACAAUAGCCCGUAUCCUGGCCACCUUCAUUCUCUAAUGCACAAUGUCAUGGCUCCAUGACGGAACUCACGUCACUUCCUCAGCAUGGGUGUCCUUCUCCUCCUCGAUCCCCCAGUGAACUGCUUCUCCUUCGGUCUGCUUCCUUCCUGCCCCUUGGGGCUUCCGCUACCACCUGUAUCAGGCCAACCUCUGCUCAUCCACAGAGGAGGUGGGCUGCCCAUCCGGCUGGUCAGAAUUCCCUGAUGCUGCGUGUCCUGGAAGCCCAGGUUACAGGACACUGAGAGGCUCAGCCAUGCUCUGCAACCUCUCCUUUUCUCCAAGUGGACAAGGGAACCUAGGACCCUGGCCAGCUGCUUCUCUGUGUGAAUGCUAACGCUGCUGGCCAGUGCCUGCAGCCUUGGGCCAUGUGGACCACUGGACUCUGGAUUUAGAUGCUGGGGGAAGGUCGACUCCUGAAUUCAUCAGAGCACCAAAUAGGGCUACUGUGUGCAGCUAAGGACACAGGUCACACUGGUAACUCUCCCAGAAGACCAAAACUGAAUGAUGAAAAUAACAGAACAGAAUAUCUGAAAUUAUGACUGCCCCAGAAAAUAGGGGACAUGCAGUCAUGGCGCCCAUGGGAAAGCUCAGCCUGGGAUCCUGGCCUCUGGAGCACCUGUCCUAAGCAGAAAGAGGGGCGAGAUGCCUACGGCUCACUUUCCAUCUCGCCUUGUUUCCUCUGUAGCAGCAAGAAUGGUCCAGACUUACUACUAUCGGAACAGUCACAAGACGAGCAUUUAAUUUCACAGCCAUUUGCAAGUUACACUGACCAUAAUAUGGUCAUCACUUGAUUGUUAACAAGAAGAAAACAUCUCAGAGAAAUAUAAGAGACUGUUACUGUACUGAAAGGAAAGGGAUCCAUCAUCCAAACGGGUUAUUCCAAAUUCGCCAUGUGUUAAGUAUUGCUCUGUCACUUCACCUUGAAAUGUCACAGGCUGUGAAUGCUGCCAGCAGUGUGGACCUGACGCCUCCAAGGAGCCGGCCUUUGAGAACAUAAUUUAAGCAGCAAGAAGAGAAUGAAGGCGGUGAGUCAGCAGUGAGUCACGGCAAAGCCACGGCGCUGCUGCCGUGCGGCUCCCCACACGCGCUCAUCGGCAGCAGUGAAUUGGUUUUUUCCAUCUUGCUUCUUUUUUUCCUGAGUAACCUCAGUAUGAAUCAUGGUGGGUGGUCUGCACUCAAACGGAGAAACUCUUGAUCACAAUGAACAAAACAUUGCUUUAACUUCUCAAAAGACUCUUCGAAAGAUCCGGCAGGCAGCGCGUGGACAUUUGUGGUCACGGACAGCGCCACUUUCCCACUUUCCUCCGAGGGACGCUCGCAGCCCAGAAGGGCCCGGGGGAUGGUUGAAAAACAGCAACGGAAAGUGGGCCUGGAGCCCACCCAACCCCAAGUGUGUGUGCAUUCACAAUGAAUAUUUUUAAAAAAUUAUUAACGAGGAUUUCUUUUUUUCUGGCCACGGGUGACCAAACCACAAAUGUAACUGGGGAACCAUCAAAGAACAGCUCCGUCCCUGCUGGUUUCCCUGUUCUGCUGAAGGAAGAUCAUUAGGGGAAAUGGUGAAAACCCACUCAGGCCAAGGACUGUGUUUCAUGCCCCGCUGCGCCCUCCACGUUUGACAACCAAAGCAGCAGGCAUGGUAAGCUCUCAACACACAUUACAUAAUUCACCCACGCGACAUUAGCACCAAAGCACGUUUUGUGCCUCGGGCGAGGACAGGAAGGCAGCGUCCUCCCCGCCACCGCCCCUGUGGCCGUGGGUGCGACUCUCGGCUGGAAGCGCUGAGCCUGCCGGCCUCUCGCUCGGCUGGGGAGCACUGUGUGAUGGGCUGAGUGCUGUUCUCCCACACGCACAACACCCAGAACCUCAGACAGUGGCCAUACUGGGAAAUAGGAUCUCUACAGAGACAAUCCAGUGAAGAUGAGGUCUCACUGCAUUAGAAUGAGCCCUGAUCCAAAGAUAGGGUCCUACUAAGAAGAGGGGGAUUUGGAGGCAGACACAGAGAGGCGAAGUCCGGAGGAAGCAGGAGGCAGAGGCCACAGUGCUGCAGCCACAGGACCGUGCCGGUGACCAGCAGCAGCUGGAAGAGGCUGAGAAGGGUCGUCCCUGCAGCCUCUGAGGGAGCGAGGCCCCACUGAUGCCUGCUUUCUGAACUUCAGCCUCCAGAUCCAAGGAUGAAUUUCUGUCGUCUUCCACCAGCUCGUCUGUGCACCUGGAGCAGCAGCUGCAGGAAGUGAAUCCUCACUGCAGCCUUGGCUCCACGGCCUCGAGGCCCCUCGGAGCCGGAACAGGCCUGCAGGGCAUGCACCCGCCGCCUGGCAGCAGGGGACACCUCCACCAUGCACCGCAGCCCUGCAGCGGCUCACGCCCAGGGGCUGGCUGCUGGGACAGGCCGGCGGGGCGCUGACUCAGCAGGCGUUCAGAGGCCAUCAGAAAGGGUUGUCUGCAGCCUUUUUAAAGACUGGUAUGAUUUCUGACUUCCUCCCCGAGGGUUUGGAGGGAGAGGGAGGCAAUACACUUUAUCAGAUCUUCCCGAUUGCUACAGGAUCAUCAGACUCAGUGAAUUAAAAACCACUGAAGCCCGGGUGCUGCCAUCCAUCUCAGCUGCAAAUACGCCCGUCCAGGAGCUCCUGGACGAGCACAACCCAACGUGUCCGCAGGAAGAGGACACCUCAUUCCCAGUGGAAACAGAACGGAAGUCCUCUCAAAGAAAAGACACUCAGGCUUAGGGGAGGGUGUGACCCUCCUGGUCUGCAUCUUAACGUCCUGGAAGAAACGUCUCCUCUCACUUGGUUGUGGCAGGAGUCACACUCGCCGUGGGACGGGAAACCCGGCAGCGGGUCCCACUUGAGGCCUCAGAGAAGAGUCGGCUCUGGGCUGAGAGCAAGUGACAUCCAGGUGCAAAUAAAUGUCACAUUUUAGAGCAAACCCCACAAACGGACCUCAGACCUACAUCUGCCUCCCAGAAACGUUCAGCAAGGUCAGCCGUGGAUUGGGGCCAGAUCUCCUGGGGUUAGCGUGGAUUUCCACAAAACCCUGACCUCACACACCUGGAUUACGCAGUAAGCUGCCUUAGAUGCGGCUUCAACUAGAGGACAUCCAGGAGGCACGGCGAUCGCCCUGUCACGUGGCUCUCCAUGAAACACGGCGGCACCCCUGCUGGGCCCUCCGAGGGCCCCGGGAGCGCCCACCAGUCCCGUCCGUGGUGAGACCGCUGAGGCCCAGCGAGCAUGAAGCCAGCCCCCUUCUCGGCCCUCCGUCCACACGAAGCCGCUGCCCUCCUCCACCAGCCCCGCGCGGAAGGGGGCUGCCACCUCCCACCCCAGGAAAAGAAACGAGCUUGCUGCCCCCACGGCCUCUUUCCCACAAACCACACUUCAUCUCUGGAACGAAGGGGGACAAAAGGCUUUUUCGGUUCUGUGCUGUUUGCUGCUGCCUCACGAUAAUUUUGCAAAACUGGUAAGGAUGGAACCUUUCGUUGCUGCCAAUCCCAAGUGAAGCUUGUCACCUACCACCUGUCAGACGUGCGCAGGGGCAUCUGAGGGGCGGCUCGUCAGCCUUGCAGGCUGAGCUGAAAUGAGCUGGUGACUCCUUUACAAUGUUCUUACCUCCUCUCAAAACAGUUACUUCCCAGUUGUCACUCCUCACAGUCUGAGUCUGAUACCUGGUCCAUUUACGUCUGUCUGCCUUUCUUUUCUGAGUAUCACUGUGGCCGGCUUUUCCCUUCAUUUAAAAGAAUCCCAGAGAUGCUCCUCCUCUCCACCAUCGGUGUGCAGCCUGUGGCUCACGCUCUCCGUGGUCAUUGCUUCACCUUCCCCCUUCUUGAAGGCCAUGCCUGCGACUCUCCUCCCUAGACCACCCUGCAAACCACGGAAGGGCUGGAGACGUGGCCUUGCUUUUCCAUGAAAUUCUGGACGAAUGCAUCACAGCCGCACCAGGCCUGCUGGGAAGGAGGCUGAGGCCGCCCUGCGGCUCCGCUGAGACAAGCUCCUCGGUCACCUCCUCCCCCUCAAUCCCCCCCACCUGCCAUCCGGACCUCGGGGAUUUCCUCCUAAGGACCCCCGGAUGACCCAGAAAACCGCUCCUCCCCGGGCCCUCAGGGCUCUGGGAAGGACUUCGGUAGCAGACCUCACGCGCCGACUGCUGCACCCCCUUUAGACUCAGUCACAUGGGCUGACGCCAAGCAUAAGCCCGCCGCGGCAUCCACACCACGACAGCCAUGCUCGCGGGCCUCGGAACUCAGCGUAAACGGAAGCUGCCUCCUUCUCUGGUUCGUAAGACAAUAACCUGGCAAGGAAAUGUGAGUUACUAGUAAGCAGUGGAGUUACAGAAGAUGUGUAAGUUCUAUUUUGCUGAACUACGCUUGUCUUCCUCUUCAUAAACCGAACAUUUAUCCUUAUUUCAAAGCAUGUCCCAGGAGCACAGCUGGACUCAUGCAGAGAUGUGCUUCUUGUCUGGUACAGACCACGUUCUAAACAAGUGGUUUUGCAGAAUCAGAUGAAAAGUAGGUCAGCUUCACCCGGCAGGUCACAAUUACACAUGGUCAAGAAGGAUCUCGGUCCGAUGUGUUUGUCACAGGGAAGAGUGUUAGGAGUGCACCUCAGGGGUGUGAAAUUUCAGAUUUUCCAAGAGCAGUCAUUUUUUCCCCCUGUGCUACAAACAGCUCUUUUCCGGUCAUAUGCUUCACAACGAUGUAAUGUAUGAGAGGUGACAAAGAGGAUUCAGCCUAACUUUCAGGCCAGUGUCCUAGCAGCAUUCACACUAAGUAUUGUGUAAUGCCCUAUCUGUUAAUCCACUGUGCGGUUUUUUUCUAAUUUGAAACUCAGUCAAUACACUUAAACACAAAACCCUAUACAUAAAAGCUGCCUUUUCUGAAAAUAUAACCUUGAAGUUCAGCACUUUACUUGGAAGACCUGCAACACACUGUGGCGCAGCCGCCAUGAAGAGCACCUGCUUGCUGCUCCUGGCAGGGGUCUUAGCCCAGAAAAGAGAGCAUCACUUGGUGACCUCUGUGACUCCUUCACAGGCUGGCUUUUCUUCAUCAUUGUUCAACAUGUAUCAGGUCUUCACCUUACUCCAGGCACUAGCCUGGUUGCCUUGAAGGGUUUUUUUUUCCAAAAUGACAAAUAUUAGUUGAGAACUUAUUCUGUCCACAGUGGGUAGCUCAUACAGGUGAGCUAGACAGGAUCCUGUCCUUCCGUGAACCAAACCGAGUGCUAAGGAGGUGAGGGACUAGGGAAACCAGCCUGGAGAUCUGCUAGCGCACGUGUUCUGUGUGCUCCCGGGGCACUCAUCUGCUAGGUACCAAGUACCAAGGAGAACUGUGACACUGUUCAGUUCACGGCAAAGAGGAAACAGGCGCCAUGACCAGUGCUACAGACACAGACACGGAGGAGGGCUUUCCAGGCAGAGAGGAAAGCACAGAAAAGGAGAGAGAUGUGAAGCUGUGCCUCUCCCAGGAAACCACUAGAGGUUUGGUGCCAUGGGAAAGCAGGUGGGAGUGGGGCUGACACACGGCGAAGAGGUGAGAACCCAGACAGGGCCGUGAAUGCAGAGUCAAGGGGUCAGGUGGCAUCACACAGGGGAAGGGUCAUCAGAGUUGAGCUGUCCACGGAAGGUCCAAGUAACAGCUGGUGGUCAGAAGGACGCUACUGGGCUUUGCAAAUGUGACUGACAAAAGCACUUCUCCGCUGCUUCUGUCCUGUUCACUCUCACACACGUGCACAGUCACACGCAUGUAUGUUACAUAUUCUUACAGGUUUACCUGCUGGUCCCAAUAUGGUCCUUGUCCACAUCUUCAAGUUUUAUGGAAACUCAAGAUAAAUAAAAUACAACUCUCUCUUA